AUUAAAUAGAUUUUGUUGUUGUUGAGUAAAUCCCAUGACAACAGCAGAAGCGCUUUGCUUUUUGGAACCUGAGAUAAAAGGAGCUUCCAUUUUGAGUUCUGUGUGUGCUCUGAUUGGUGGAGAGAGAUCCACUUUGAUCUUUGUUGAUAUUUUUGGAACCUCUGAUGACAGCAGCUUCAUUCUGUAGUGGUUGUGGUUCUGUGUGUGCCUCUGAGCUACGCUUUAAACUGCGGUAACUUUCUCAGCAGCAGCAUCAGUAGUAAGUGAAAAAGUUUUAAAGCUUCAUUAGAGUUUGAACUUCAAAAAGAGAAGAUCAAAGCAAAUUAAGGAUUCAGAGGGCUUGAACCAAUAUUUAGUUUUUGAGAUUUGCACCGAAAAUGGGACAGGCUCCUCCCACAUCCUCAUCCAAACAAAACCUGGAUUUCUGUGAGCGUCUGAUAAAUGAAUUAGACGAUCUGAACCAAAACAUAAUCAUGGCAAAAUCUGAUAUACUGAAGAAAUCAGAGGCUAAAGAAAGUUAUUUAAUGGCCAAGAUCAAAGAACAAGAAGACCAACUGGGUCUAUACAGAGAGAAGUUCCAGGAAAUGCAGGAACACUUUGAAGGGAAAUUAAAGGAGGCUCAGGACAAGUGCAGCUGUCUCACUGAUGAACUAGAGCUUUCCUACGACCAGUGCAGAACCCUCACCUCUGAGCUCAUGGAGAGCAAUAACCAGUCCGCUAUGCUGUCUUCACAACUGGAGUUCUAUCAGAACCAACAUAAUCUGUCCAUCCCAAACGACAUGGAGUCCAAUUGCCAUGAGAACAUGUGUGUCCCCAGCACAGACACGUUUGACCUUGUCUGGAUAACACAACAGGUGGACAACAAUGUGUGUGUCACACAAGAUCCUUAUGAGUUCUUAAUACCAGUUUACCAAGGGCCCACUACCAGUAUGGUGGACUACUCUCAGCUCCCUCAGCAAUUGAUACCAACAUACAAGUAUCUAGGUGACGAUACGGUCUACUAUGGUCAGCCAAUUCACCCAUAUUACCCAGACCCCAAUACUGUUUGGUUCAACAACUACGAGCCCACACCAGAUGGACAGUUCUACACAGUGAACCCAGACUUCCAGUACCUUGUGUCUGAAUUCUCCCAAC
rnacentral:lncRNA from 1 species